rnacentral:rRNA from 1 species
AUGGCUGUCGACUUCCUUCUUUGCUUUUGGCUGCGGGCGCGGCGCACCUUGCCUUCAUGUCACCAAGAAGGUCUGCAGUCCAUCAUCAUCCGACGUAAACUUCAGGGCGGCCACCAGAAAGAUCCUGAUAUGCCGCCAUUAUGCAGGAGCUCUCGGUUAUGGUUAGGAUUUUUUUUUUUGGAUAAUCCUGGUCUGAAAGCUUCUGCAGAAGGAAAAAUCUGCUUCCCAAUCAGACAGUUCAUCAACAACAAUGCCAAGAUUAAGUUCAACAAGGAAGCCAAACAACUUUUUACAGUGUGCACUCUCACAAGUAUUAUGGCCUGGUAA